AUACGUAUGGUGCGAACGUUGUUCGGAAUCACUGGGCUUAAAGAGCACGUAGGCUGUUGAGAAAGUCUGAUGUGAAAUCCCUCAGCUCAACUGAGGAACUGCAUUAGAAACUUCUCGGCUGGAGUGCAGGAGGGGAGAGUGGAAUUCCUGGUGGAGCGGUGAAAUGCGUAGAUAUCAGGAGGAACGCCGGUGGCGAAAGCGACUCUCUGGCCUGCUACUGACGCUGAGGUGCGAAAGCUAGGGGAGCGAACGGGAUUAGAAACCCCGGUAGUCC
rnacentral:rRNA from 1 species